rnacentral:lncRNA from 10 species
AAAGUUUGGGAUUCCCAGUCUACAAAACCCCACAGCUCCUAGGAAUUCUCUCACCACCCUUGUGCCUUUAGGCUUCGGUAGAUUGCAAAUGACCUGCUUUCUUUCGGAUCCCGGGCUGCUUUCGGACACCUGUCGAAUAGUAAAUCCCAAGUAAGGUACCUGCGGUCGUCGGCAGAUCUGAAUUUUCUUCUUGGACACCUAAUACCCACAGCCCUCCAGAGACCGAGAGGUUGAUGUCACUCCCAAUAUCGGAGGAAGUAUACACCCCCGUGUGAGAUGGUCCUUAAUAAUAUUCCACGGCGGAGGGGGUGAUAUGACUACAUACAUGGCAGAAAGUGGAAACCUCCCAGGGAUAUUGUUCCCACGAUCCUGGAGGGAAGAAGAUGAUGUUACUUUCAAUAUGACAGAAGGUGGAUGAAGUGGUGGACUGCCCCUCCACACCUGUGGACACGCCCCCACUGAUAUUCCUUCUAAUUGCAGCGUGGGAGAGGAGGAUAUGACACGCGAUAUCGCAGGGAGUAGAAACACCCCUGUGAUACUGUUCUUAAUAUUCAGGGAGGAAGAGGAUGAUAUUACUCCCAAUACAGACGGGUGUACACCCUCUGUACACCGAGGGUGUACACCUGUCUGUGAAAGAGUUCUUAAUCUCCAGAGGGGGAGAUGAUAUUACUCACAAUAUGGUAAAGAGGCUGUGAGUCCACGGAGGAUCCUCAGAGCCAGCGGGGGAAGAGGGGCUGGCUCUCAGUCCCCGCCUCGCGGGGGUGACUCCCCCCAGUGCGAUGGGGGUCCUAAGAGCCAGUGGGGGAAGAGGGGCUGGCUCUGAGACCCCGCCUCGCGGGGGGUGCCUCCCCGCCCUGUGAUGGGGGUCCCAAGAGCCAGAAGGCUUAGAGGGGCUGGCUCUCAGUCCCCGCCUCGCGGGGGGUGCCUCCUCCCCCUGCGAUGGGGGUCGUAAGAGCCACUGGGGGAAUAGGGGCUUGCUCUCAGUCACCGCCUCGCGGGGGGUGCCUCCUUUCCUUUCUACAUAGACACAGUGACAGUCUGAUCUCUCUUUCUUUUCCCUACAGAUGGACACGCCCCCACUGAUAUUGUUUUUAAUGCAGCGUGGGAGGGGAGGAUAUGACACGCGAUAUCGCAGGUAGUAGAAACACCCCUUUGAUAGUGUUCUUAAUAUUCAGGGAGGAAGAAGAUGAUGUUACUCCCAAUACAGACGGAUGUACACCCUCUGUACACCGAGGGUGUACACCCGUCUGUGAAGGAGUUCGUAAUCUCCAGAGGUGGAGAUGAUAUUACUCACAAUAUGGUAAACAGGCUGCGAGUCCAUCGCGGAUCCUCAGAGCCAGGUGGGGAAGAGGGGCUGGCUGUCAGUCCCCUCCUCGCGGGGGGUGCCUCCCCCACUGCUAUGGGGAUCCCAAGAGCCAGUGGGGGAAGAGGUGCUGGCUCUCAGUCUCCGCCUCGCGAGGUGCCUCCCCACCCUGCGAUCGGGGUCCGAAGAGCCAGGGGGGAAGAGGGGCUGGCUCUCUUCGUGGAUGAUUCUUUUUCCAUUCUCAGGCAGUUUUCUUUUUUCUUUCUUUCUUUUUUUUUUUUUUGAGACUGAGUCUUGCUCUGUUGCCCAUGCUUUGCUCGAUCUCGGGUGACUGCAACCACUGCCUCCCAGGUUCAAGAGAUUCUCCUGCCUCAGCCUCCUGAGUAGCUGGGACUAGAGGCGUGUGUCACCACACCCAGCUAAUUUUUGUAUUUUUAGUAGAGAUGGGGUUUCACCAUGUUUGCCAGGAUGGUCUUUAUCUCCUGCCCUUGUGAUCCACCCACCUCAGCCUCCCAAAGUGCUGGGAUUGCAGGUGCGAGCCACCGGGUCCAGCCUCUCAGGCGAUUUUCAUACCUGCAUACUCUGAUCACUACUCUGUUAAACAGUCAAGGAGGGUAAGUAUUAUCUUCAGAUUUCCAGAGCUCUGUCUCUGUACAGCCCUCUCCUCCUCAAUAUUCUGCCCUAUGAAUUCUAGCCACAUUGGCCUUCCCAGGCUCACAGUUCUGUCUUCUCAACUCAGGAAGAUCUCUGAGUUCCAUCUGCAUUCUUUCUUCCUGUGCUGUGGCCUGGAAAGUUUUCUAAGGUGUUAGGGAGGUCAAUUGUGGGGCUAGCCUCAUUUGUUUCUCAUCUCUUGAGGAUCACUGCCCUUUGAUGCUUGAUUCCAGUGAUUGAUUCCCUUUGUUGCUUGAGGGCCAUAGUUUCAUAUAUUUUGUCCAGUAGUUUUGUUGUUUUAGGUCAGAAAGUAAUUUUGGUCUCUGUUACUCUAUCUUGGCCAGAAGUGUAAGACCUAAGCAUUUACACAUCAAAAUACUGCACACAUAAUUUUAGUUUAAGCUACUUUUUAAAAAAUCUCCUUCAUUUUCCAUUUAGCAUUCUAUUUAGGGUAUUACAUUGGUUUUUUUGAAAUUCUGUUAUUGGCAGUUUCUAUUGCCUAUCAAUCCCAUUUAAAGAUAGUGCAUAGGGUAUUCUAAAAUAGCUGUUAAGCAAAGAGAAAAUUGGGCCUGAUAGGGUGAGAAUCACAGCUCUAAUACCUAGAGUGACCUUAUAAUGUAUUGUCCAAAGGAGAUAUUUUUGACAGUGAAAGAGGGUGUUGUUAGUAAUUAUAUCAGGACCAUGGCCUAAACCAGGACUAUCCCAGGAAGCCUGGGACAUAUUUGUACCCCAUCUCUAUUUAAUGCCUUUAUACAAUUCUUUACUUAAUUCUACCAGCCUUUAUUGAGCCUGCUUUCUUUGUCUAGCUGAGUGCCACGUGCUGACGUCACUAAGAUCAAUACAGCAAACUCUGAAAGAUGGACAGAGAGACAGGAGAUGGUCCUUUAUAAUGCAGUGUGAUCUGUGCUGCAAUAGAGUUUUGGAAGCUAGAAGUUCAAAACGAGGUGUUGGCAGCACCAUGCUCUCUCUGAAGAUGCUAGGAAGAAUCUGCUCCAUGCCUUUCCAUUCGCUCCUGGGGUUUCCUGCAAGCCCUGACAUUCCUUGGCUUGUAGAUGCAUCACCCCAGUUUCCGCCCCCAUCAUCACAUGGCCUCCUCUCUGUGUGUGCCUCUGCGUUCCCUCUAUUCUUCUUCUAAGGACACCGACACCAGUCAUAGUGGAUUAAGGGUCCACUCCUAACCAAUUACAUCUGCAACAACCCUAUUUCCAAAUAAAGUCACAUUCUAAGAUUCCUAGGGAGAACCUGAAUUUUUGGGGGUGUGUGGAUACUGUUCAACCUGGGAUAUGGAGUAAAUAAAUGGCAAGGAAGAUUACAGAUGACUUUAAGCUAAAGAGGGAGAUAGGGUUAAAUGUAGGACUUUUUUUUUUUCCAGGACGGGAGAGGUUUAAACAUGUUACUACAUUGAAUAAAUGAAAUAA